UCCCUUUUAGGGGCAGUCUCGCUAGAGAGUGUAACUAGCGACAAGGGUUGCGCUCGUUGCGGGACUUAACCCAACACCUCACGGCACAAGCUGACAACAACCAUGCAGCACCUUGCUGGACGCCCCGAAGGGAGGACCGGUUUCCCGGCCUGUCGUCCAACAUUUAAGCCCUGGUAAGGUUCCUCGCGUAUCAUCGAAUUAAACCACAUGCUCCACCGCUUGUGCGGGCCCCCGUCAAUUCCUUUGAGUUUCAAUCUUGCGAUCGUACUCCCCAGGUGGAUCACUUAAUGCUUUCGCUUAGUCGCUGACAGUAUAUCGCCAACAACGAGUGAUCAUCGUUUACAGCGUGGACUAC
rnacentral:misc_RNA from 1 species